rnacentral:rRNA from 1 species
UCUUAGCAGGGGAUAACAUUUGGGAAACAAAUGCUAAUACCGUAUAAUAAUUAAAACCGCAUUGGUUUUAGUUUAAAGAUGGUCUUGCUAUCACUAAGAGAUGGUCCCGCGGUGUAUUAGUUAGUUGGUGAGGUAAUGGCUCACCAAGACAAUGAUACAUAGCCGAGUUGAGAGACUGACCGGCCACAAUGGGACUGAGACACGGCCCAUACUCCUACGGGAGGCAGCAGUAGGGAAUCUUCCACAAUGGACGAAAGUCUGAUGGAGCAACGCCGCGUGUGUGAUGAAGGGUUUCGGCUCGUAAAACACUGUUGUAAGAGAAGAAUGACAUUGAGAGUAACUGUUCAAUGUGUGACGGUAUCUUACCAGAAAGGAACGGCUAAAUACGUG